ACGGAGGGUGCAAGCGUUAAUCGGAAUUACUGGGCGUAAAGCGCACGCAGGCGGUUUGGUAAGACAGAUGUGAAAUCCCAGGGCUCAACCUGGGAACUGCAUCUGUAACUGGCAAGCUUGAGUAUCGUAGAGGGGGGUAGAAUUCCAGGUGUAGCGGUGAAAUGCGUAGAGAUCUGGAGGAAUACCGGUGGCGAAGGCAGCCCCCUGGACUAAGACUGACGCUCAGGUGCGAAAGCGUGGGGAGCAAACAG
rnacentral:rRNA from 1 species